rnacentral:rRNA from 1 species
UAAGGGCGCACGGUGGAUGCCUUGGCACUAGAAGCCGAUGAAGGACGUUACUAACGACGAUAUGCUUUGGGGAGCUGUAAGUAAGCUUUGAUCCAGAGAUUUCCGAAUGGGGAAACCCAGCAUGAGUUAUGUCAUGUUAUCGAUAUGUGAAUACAUAGCAUAUCAGAAGGCACACCCGGAGAACUGAAACAUCUUAGUACCCGGAGGAAGAGAAAGAAAAUUCGAUUCCCUUAGUAGCGGCGAGCGAAACGGGAAGAGCCCAAACCAACAAGCUUGCUUGUUGGGGUUGUAGGACACUCUAUACGGAGUUACAAAGGACGACAUUAGACGAAUCAUCUGGAAAGAUGAAUCAAAGAAGGUAAUAAUCCUGUAGUCGAAAAUGUUGUCUCUCUUGAGUGGAUCCUGAGUACGACGGAGCACGUGAAAUUCCGUCGGAAUCUGGGAGGACCAUCUCCUAAGGCUAAAUACUCUCUAGUGACCGAUAGUGAACCAGUACCGUGAGGGAAAGGUGAAAAGCACCCCGGAAGGGGAGUGAAAUAGAACCUGAAACCGUGUGCUUACAAGUAGUCAGAGCCCGUUAAUGGGUGAUGGCGUGCCUUUUGUAGAAUGAACCGGCGAGUUACGAUUUGAUGCAAGGUUAAGCAGUAAAUGUGGAGCCGUAGCGAAAGCGAGUCUGAAUAGGGCGUUUAGUAUUUGGUCGUAGACCCGAAACCAGGUGAUCUACCCUUGGUCAGGUUGAAGUUCAGGUAACACUGAAUGGAGGACCGAACCGACUUACGUUGAAAAGUGAGCGGAUGAACUGAGGGUAGCGGAGAAAUUCCAAUCGAACCUGGAGAUAGCUGGUUCUCUCCGAAAUAGCUUUAGGGCUAGCCUCAAGUGAUGAUUAUUGGAGGUAGAGCACUGUUUGGACGAGGGGCCCCUCUCGGGUUACCGAAUUCAGACAAACUCCGAAUGCCAAUUAAUUUAACUUGGGAGUCAGAACAUGGGUGAUAAGGUCCGUGUUCGAAAGGGAAACAGCCCAGACCACCAGCUAAGGUCCCAAAAUAUAUGUUAAGUGGAAAAGGAUGUGGCGUUGCCCAGACAACUAGGAUGUUGGCUUAGAAGCAGCCAUCAUUUAAAGAGUGCGUAAUAGCUCACUAGUCGAGUGACACUGCGCCGAAAAUGUACCGGGGCUAAACAUAUUACCGAAGCUGUGGAUUGUCCUUUGGACAAUGGUAGGAGAGCGUUCUAAGGGCGUUGAAGCAUGAUCGUAAGGACAUGUGGAGCGCUUAGAAGUGAGAAUGCCGGUGUGAGUAGCGAAAGACGGGUGAGAAUCCCGUCCACCGAUUGACUAAGGUUUCCAGAGGAAGGCUCGUCCGCUCUGGGUUAGUCGGGUCCUAAGCUGAGGCCGACAGGCGUAGGCGAUGGAUAACAGGUUGAUAUUCCUGUACCACCUAUAAUCGUUUUAAUCGAUGGGGG